AUAUUGAUACAUUGCAUUUUGUGAUAUGGAUUUGAGGUAGGUUCUGAACUUGAUUCUUCAUCUGGGCAUUAUAAUUUUUUGCUUGUAAUUGAUGGGAUUCCAGUGGUAAUAUAUAUCAUUUAUCAUGAGAGAUUGAUUCUUUGGCAAGGCUAAAACUGGUAUACAUGUUCUUUGCAUUCCAGGGUGUUUUAUUUCUUCUGUUUCAUGGCAUUCCUGUGUUGUUCUCUUAUACUCCAUACAAUUUCAUAAUGUGUAGGCAAAGAGUAAGGUUUUUUUUUUCCACUUGAUAGAGAUGCAUUCCCCUCUUUGAAACUGCAUGCAAUUGGUUUUACUUUGUUUUCAGAGCUGAAUUCAUGAUGUUGAAAACAUGUUGGAACUUCUAAAAUUAAAAGCUGUCAUGUGUCUUCUGGAAUUAUACUAUGUACUAUGAAACUGAUUUGAAAGCAAAACAUCUUCCCUUUCUUAAAUGUGCAUGACUAUUGUUAAAAGAAAUGAGGCAGCUCUGAACUCUAUCUUGCUAUAGAUCAAGAAAUCUAUUUGUAUGAACUAAGAAGAUGGCAGAGAGUUGUUCUGUUCAGAGUAACUCAUUUGCUCCCUACCCAUGAAGAACUCUGGCUCAGAAUUCUUAUAAUCAAUGUUCGAGCUGAUUAGUUUGCCUUUUGGUUACCCUUAUAAUUUACAGAUUAAUGAAUCACAGCAUCAAGCACAAACCACACUUGCAUCGUGAUAAAUCCACGCAUUCCACAGGCGCAACAAUAUAAAACUGAGUAUCAAGUGCUCAACAAAACAAGAGAGGCCAACACCUUAUGAAAUGAAUAUCUAAAGCAUCAAAAGAGCGUUCCACCUGCAACCAGUUUUUAUAAAAUCCUUGAAUGUAGACCCUCUUUUGAGUCUCUUUAGCUGGAGACCCAAACACAAGACACAGCUAAAGAAUAGUUUAUCCCUCCCUUGCUUUAUUAAACGAUACAUACCAAGUUUGAUUUGAAGUUAUUGAUUCCGGUGGAGAAAUUCGUGUAACAUGUUGAACAGAAACGUUCUACUAUGCAAUGUUAUCCCAGUAACAUAUAACAGUAAUUCCCGCAGCAAAGCGCGGGGGCACUCUUCCUAGUUUUAUACAUAUCUCUUAGAAGUUUGAAAAAUGGAUA